GCGUCUUCGGCGUCCGCAUUGUAAUCUCAAGAAGUGUUUUCCGCUUCGGACCAUGCCUAAGUCCCUUGGAAAAGGGCAUCAUAGAGGGUGAUAAUCCCGUACAUGGCAUGGAGCGCCCGAGGCUUUGUGAUACGCUUUCUAAGAGUCGAGUUGUUUGGGAAUGCAGCUCAAAAUGGGUGGUAAAUGCCAUCUAAGGCUAAAUAUUGGGGAGAGACCGAUAGCGAACAAGUACAGUGAUGGAAAGAUGAAAAGAACUUUGAAAAGAGAGUUAAACAGUACGUGAAAUUGCCAAAAGGGAAGGGUAGGAGGUCAGAGAUGCGUCUUGGGAUUCAGCCUUGCUUUUGCUUGGUGUUUUUCCCAAGUUGCAGGCCAACGUCGGUUUUGGGCACUGGAGAAGGGUGGAAGGAACGUGGCACCUCUCGGGGUGUGUUAUAGCCUUCUACUGGAUACAGCGACCGAGACCGAGGACAGCAGCGUACUCGCAAGAGCGGGCCUUCGGGCACCUUUACGCUUAGGGCGUUGGCAUAAUGGCCCUCUACCAC
rnacentral:rRNA from 1 species